rnacentral:rRNA from 1 species
AGUGAACGCUGGCGGUAGGCCUAACACAUGCAAGUCGAACGGCAGCACAGUAAGAGCUUGCGCUUACGGGGGGCGAAUGGCGGACGUGAGAGGAAUAUAUCGGAAUCUACUUUUUCGGGUGGGUUAACGAAGGGAAACUUACGCUAAUACCGCAUACGACCUACGGGUGAAAGCAGUGGAUCUUCUGACCUGUCGCGAUUGGAUGAGCCGAUGACGGGUUAGCUAGUGGGCUGGGUAAAGGCCCACCAAGGCGAGGAUUCGCAGCCGGUGAGAGAGGAUGGUCAGCGACACUGGAGCUGAGCCGCGGUCAAGACUACUACGGGAGGCAGCAGUCGGCAAUAUUGGACAACGGGCGCAAGUAUGAUACAGCCAUAGCGCGUCGGUGAAGAAGGCCUUGCGGUUGUAAAGCCCUUUUGUUGGGAAAGAACCGCAGCAGGUUAAUACCAAGCUGUUGUGACGGUAACCAAAGAAUAAGCACCGGCUAACUUCGUG